UUAAAAUUUAAGGUAUUUUAUUUUUAAGAAUGUGAAUUGCAAGUUUACUAAACUAUUUAUUAUUUAUUUAAG
rnacentral:tRNA from 2 species